CCUACGGGAGGCAGCAGUGAGGAAUAUUGGUCAAUGGACGAGAGUCUGAACCAGCCAAGUAGCGUGAAGGAUGACUGCCCUAUGGGUUGUAAACUUCUUUUAUAAAGGAAUAAAACGAGGCACGUGUGCCUUUUUGCAUGUACUUUAUGAAUAAGGAUCGGCUAACUCCGUGCCAGCAGCCGCGGUAAUACGGAGGAUCCGAGCGUUAUCCGGAUUUAUUGGGUUUAAAGGGAGCGUAGAUGGGUUGGUAAGUCAGUUGUGAAAGUUUGCUGCUCAACCGUAAAAUUGCAAUUGAUACUGGAAGUCUUGAGUACAGUUGAGGUAGGCGGAAUUCGUGGUGUAGCGGUGAAAUGCUUAGAUAUCACGAAGAACCCCGAUUGCGAAGGCAGCUUACUAAACUGUGACUGACAUUGAUGCUCGAAAGUGUGGGUAUCAAACAGGAUUAGAUACCCCAGUAGUC
rnacentral:rRNA from 1 species